CAGAAGAUAGUUUAUUGGAAUAUUGGCUUUGGGUGUUAAUGGUGGUGUUAAUUCAUUCUUCUGA
rnacentral:tRNA from 1 species